UACGGGGGGGAGCAAGCGUUUGUUCGGAUUUACUGGGCGUAAAGGGCGCGUAGGCGGCCUGUGCAAGUCAGUUGUGAAAUCUCCGAGCUUAACUCGGAACGGUCAACUGAUACUGCUCGGCUAGAGUGCGGAAGGGGCAACUGGAAUUCUUGGUGUAGCGGUGAAAUGCGUAGAUAUCAAGAGGAACACCUGCGGCGAAGGCGGGUUGCUGGGCCGACACUGACGCUGAUGCGCGAAAGCUAGGGGAGCGAACGGG
rnacentral:rRNA from 1 species